AGAGUUUGAUCCUGGCUCAGGAUGAACGCUGGCGGCGUGCCUAAUACAUGCAAGUCGAGCGAACGGACGAGAAGCUUGCUUCUCUGAUGUUAGCGGCGGACGGGUGAGUAACACGUGGAUAACCUACCUAUAAGACUGGGAUAACUUCGGGAAACCGGAGCUAAUACCGGAUAAUAUUUUGAACCGCAUGGUUCAAAAGUGAAAGACGGUCUUGCUGUCACUUAUAGAUGGAUCCGCGCUGCAUUAGCUAGUUGGUAAGGUAACGGCUUACCAAGGCAACGAUGCAUAGCCGACCUGAGAGGGUGAUCGGCCACACUGGAACUGAGACACGGUCCAGACUCCUACGGGAGGCAGCAGUAGGGAAUCUUCCGCAAUGGGCGAAAGCCUGACGGAGCAACGCCGCGUGAGUGAUGAAGGUCUUCGGAUCGUAAAACUCUGUUAUUAGGGAAGAACAUAUGUGUAAGUAACUGUGCACAUCUUGACGGUACCUAAUCAGAAAGCCACGGCUAACUACGUGCCAGCAGCCGCGGUAAUACGUAGGUGGCAAGCGUUAUCCGGAAUUAUUGGGCGUAAAGCGCGCGUAGGCGGUUUUUUAAGUCUGAUGUGAAAGCCCACGGCUCAACCGUGGAGGGUCAUUGGAAACUGGAAAACUUGAGUGCAGAAGAGGAAAGUGGAAUUCCAUGUGUAGCGGUGAAAUGCGCAGAGAUAUGGAGGAACACCAGUGGCGAAGGCGACUUUCUGGUCUGUAACUGACGCUGAUGUGCGAAAGCGUGGGGAUCAAACAGGAUUAGAUACCCUGGUAGUCCACGCCGUAAACGAUGAGUGCUAAGUGUUAGGGGGUUUCCGCCCCUUAGUGCUGCAGCUAACGCAUUAAGCACUCCGCCUGGGGAGUACGACCGCAAGGUUGAAACUCAAAGGAAUUGACGGGGACCCGCACAAGCGGUGGAGCAUGUGGUUUAAUUCGAAGCAACGCGAAGAACCUUACCAAAUCUUGACAUCCUUUGACAACUCUAGAGAUAGAGCCUUCCCCUUCGGGGGACAAAGUGACAGGUGGUGCAUGGUUGUCGUCAGCUCGUGUCGUGAGAUGUUGGGUUAAGUCCCGCAACGAGCGCAACCCUUAAGCUUAGUUGCCAUCAUUAAGUUGGGCACUCUAAGUUGACUGCCGGUGACAAACCGGAGGAAGGUGGGGAUGACGUCAAAUCAUCAUGCCCCUUAUGAUUUGGGCUACACACGUGCUACAAUGGACAAU
rnacentral:rRNA from 1 species